rnacentral:pre_miRNA from 1 species
UUCAUACUCCCUCCGUCCAACAAAAUAUGUCUGAACUUUGCCAAAAUUUAGAUGUAUCUAGACAUGACUUAGUGUAUAGGUGCAUUUAAAUUUAGUCAAAGUUGAGACAUUAUUUGUUAAACGGAGGUAGUACAAA